AAAACUGCUUCCAUGGAUGUUGGCCAAGUCGGCUUCCACAAUCCGAAGAUGGUUCGAACUGUGAAAGUGGAGAAGCGUAUAAAUGAGCUAGUUAAUAGAUUGAACAGAACAAAAGUUGAAAGAAAGCCUGAUUUGAAAGCUGAGAGGGAAGCAGUAAAUUCAGCAGAAAGAGCAGAGAGAAAGCUUCAACUAAGGGAUAAAAAACGACGGGAGGAAAUUGAAAGGCUUGAAAAGGAGAGACAGGCUGAGAUAAGGAGCUACAAAGGUUUAAUGGUUUCCGAAAAUAUGACAUCUAACAAGCAGAUUGCAGCAGAAAACAAGUCCUUGCAGGAACUGGAAGAGGACUUUAUGUAAGCACAAUUGUAUGCAACUGUUAUACCAAACCUGCUGCUCCUCAAGAAUUGGGUUUUUCAUUCAGUGUGUAACUCUAGAUUCCUUCCUGCAAAAAUCACCUAAGUUUCCAGCCUGUAGUUCCAUGAUAUUGGUAAGA
rnacentral:misc_RNA from 1 species